rnacentral:rRNA from 1 species
CCUACGGGAGGCAGCAGUAGGGAAUAUUGCUCAAUGGGGGAAACCCUGAAGCAGCAACGCCGCGUGGAGGAUGAAGGUUUUCGGAUUGUAAACUCCUUUUGUUAGAGAAGAUAAUGACGGUAUCUAACGAAUAAGCACCGGCUAACACCGUGCCAGCAGCCGCGGUAAUACGGAGGGUGCAAGCGUUACUCGGAAUCACUGGGCGUAAAGAGCGCGUAGGCGGGAUAGCAAGUCAGAUGUGAAAUCCUAGGGCUUAACCAUAGAACUGCAUUUGAAACUGUUAUUCUAGAGUAUGGGAGAGGUAGGAGGAAUGCUUGGUGUAGGGGUAAAAUCCGUAGAGAUCAAGAGGAACACUCAUUGCGAAGGCGACCUGCUAGAACAUAACUGACGCUGAUGCGCGAAAGCGUGGGGAGCAAACAGGAUUAGAUACCCGUGUAGUC